rnacentral:miRNA from 1 species
UAGGAUUGUGUGAGGAAGCUCA